ensembl:lncRNA uncharacterized LOC114480509
UAUAGAUGGUCCUGUGUCCACAUGACUGUUCAUGUCUGUGUUCAACCACCUUCAGCUACAGUGGGGGUCCCCGCUCUCUGGGACCUUUAUUUUGGGGGUCACGUGCUGAAAAGGCUGAGAACCACUGCUCUAAAGGGCCGGAUUUGGCCCCUGAACCUUGAGUUUGACACGUGCAAAGACGCUUCAAUUCUACAUUCUUUCUUUUGCUUUUAUUUUGAAAGCCAAGGAUGCUGGGAACGUGCGCGCUCCCGACACUUUGCAACUGCAAAGAAAGCCGUUGGCUCUGACGUCACACACGCACACGCACGCACGCAGCCCGAGCAUCAUGAGAAGAAUCCCCGCGUGCUGCCGCGUCCCGUGCUUUGAACCCGAAAACCCCCCCCCCGCGUGCCCGGCUAGGAUGCGUUUAAGCAGGUCUAUGUGAAGUUCAGGUCAAAGGUCAUGCUGCGGAGGGAGUGUGACCUGUUUACGCCCAGAGACGUGUCUGAGGAUGACUGUGAGGUGGGAGCGAGCUGUGCAGACGUGUGUGCGUGUGAGGCCGGACCGUGCACACUUUACUCAGAGGCGCACACGCCCACGCCGGAAACACGGCUGUGUGAACACUGUGGGAAACACAGAGCCAUGAUAACCAGGUACUCAGAGGGAUACGGAACAGAGGAGGAGUGUGUGUUCUCUGACCCUCAGGGGGAAAGUGAUGCAGACGCAGACAUUGAGGACACAGACUGCAGACUCCACGAGCCCGGUUCUCUUCAGCGGAUAAGCUCGCGGCGACGAAAGCGGCCGCAGGUUGCCCGCCAGGACACUACGGAGAGUGAAGACGAUGGUGGGCGGAGUCACAGGUCGCAUCGCUGGAACCUCAGGCUGAGUCCUGACCGAGCCCACAGUCGGACCAUCCUGGAGGAGAGCAUAUCACAGGUCCGCCCUCUGGUCAUCUGCCGGCCGAGCGUUCAGCCAGACUCCACUGCAGUCAAACCUCCACCACGAUCCAAACUCAAGUCUCUGUGGCCGCCGUUGCUUCCUCUCGCACUCGUGCUCUUCCUCUCUCUUCCUCUGUCUCUCUCCCUCCUCAUCCUCAUCGUGUCCUUCCUCCUGCCCUGGACCACGGCCUGACCCCAACAUUCCUGACAGAGGAGAAAAUGAUGGACUCAAUAAUCAGCAGACAUCAGAUAUGACAUCAGAUUUUAUAGUUUGGGGUAGUUGAAGGUACAUUUCCAUUACAGAAACUUUCCCCAGGUCUUGCCAAGCAUUGUUUUGGUUUGGAGUAAGAACUUUUAAAAAGACCAGGUCAUUGGAGGGGCAGGGUUUGCAGAGCGGAAGUCUGACUGGAUGAAAAGUUGUCUCUCAUAAAUAUUGCUAAUAUAUCUACACAAUGGGGGCUUUAACCAACAUGGAGAAUGACCGUUGGAUUGACAGAGGUCAGACAUACUCCUCCCUAGUUUGGUUGUGGAUGAAGUCAGGCACAUUGUUUUGGCUAUAGUUUUUUAAGUCACAGGAAAACAUCCGAUACAAUAGUUUCCAGGUAGAAAAUAAAUCUGUACUAAAUGUUUCUAACA